rnacentral:rRNA from 1 species
CCUACGGGAGGCAGCAGUGGGGAAUAUUGGACAAUGGGGGGAACCCUGAUCCAGCCAUGCCGCGUGUGUGAAGAAGGCCUUUUGGUUGUAAAGCACUUUAAGCGAGGAGGAGGCUACCGAGAUUAAUACUCUUGGAUAGUGGACGUUACUCGCAGAAUAAGCACCGGCUAACUCUGUGCCAGCAGCCGCGGUAAUACAGAGGGUGCAAGCGUUAAUCGGAUUUACUGGGCGUAAAGCGCGCGUAGGUGGCCAAUUAAGUCAAAUGUGAAAUCCCCGAGCUUAACUUGGGAAUUGCAUUCGAUACUGGUUGGCUAGAGUAUGGGAGAGGAUGGUAGAAUUCCAGGUGUAGCGGUGAAAUGCGUAGAGAUCUGGAGGAAUACCGAUGGCGAAGGCAGCCAUCUGGCCUAAUACUGACACUGAGGUGCGAAAGCAUGGGGAGCAAACAGGAUUAGAUACCCUGGUAGUCCAUGCCGUAAACGAUGUCUACUAGCCGUUGGGGCCUUUGAGGCUUUAGUGGCGCAGCUAACGCGAUAAGUAGACCGCCUGGGGAGUACGGUCGCAAGACUAAAACUCAAAGGAAUUGACGGGGGCCCGCACAAGCGGCGGAGCAUGCGGAUUAAUUCGAUGCAACGCGAAGAACCUUAC